ACGUAAAACUAAUUUCUAACAUCACACUAACUUCAGCAUGGUCGUCAGUCCAUCACACACGUGACAUCAAGCGAAUGGGACAUGAAGCAGUGGCAGUGGUUGAGACAGAGUGUGCAUAACCUUAUACCACCGUUAGGAAGCCAAAAGAAGCAGAAAUAAAUUGCAGUUAAACAUCAAGGUGUAACUUCUGCUCAAUUUAUACGGUAAAUGAUAAAAAAAAUGCAGCAUUGUGGGAAAAGGCAGUAAAUUGCUGAUUUUGCGAAAUCAUACGAAUCUGGGACUGAUGUGUGACCUCAUGGACAGUGAAUAGUAUAUCACUUGGAAGUCCCUUAGGCUAAAAGUGAACACCUAGAGACUGCACUGUAAAUGUAAGCAGAGAUUCAGCCACAUGAGUUAGAGAUCUGGAGACAAAAUGAUG